rfam:Triticum aestivum genome assembly, contig: Triticum_aestivum_CS42_TGACv1_scaffold_603070_7DL
GUACUACUCCCUCCGUUCGGAAUUACUUGUCACAGAAAUGGAUGUAUCUAGACAUAUUUUAGUUGUAGAUACAUCCAUUUUUAUCCACGUUUGAGACAAGUAAUUUGGAACGGAGGGAGUACUUA